rnacentral:rRNA from 1 species
AACGAACGCUGGCGGCGCGCCUAAUACAUGCAAGUCGAGCGAGAAGACGUAGCAAUACGUUUGUAAAGCGGCGAACGGGUGAGGAAUACAUGGGUAACCUACCCUCGAGUGGGGAAUAACUAGCCGAAAGGUUAGCUAAUACCGCGUACGCUCCUUGGACUUCGGUUCAGGGAGGAAAGCGAUACCGUGGGUAUCGCGCUCUUGGAUGGGCUCAUGUCCUAUCAGCUUGUUGGUGAGGUAACGGCUCACCAAGGCUUCGACGGGUAGCUGGUCUGAGAGGACAAUCAGCCACACUGGCACUGCGACACGGGCCAGACUCCUACGGGAGGCAGCAGUAAGGAAUAUUGCGCAAUGGGCGAAAGCCUGACGCAGCGACGCCGCGUGGGGGGAUGAAGGUCUUCGGAUUGUAAACCCCUUUCGGGAGGGAAGAUGGAACGAGCAAUCGUUCGGACGGUACCUCCAGAAGCAGCCACGGCUAACUUCGUGCCAGCAGCCGCCGUAAC